CCUACGGGAGGCAGCAGUAAGGAAUAUUGGUCAAUGGACGAAAGUCUGAACCAGCCAUGCCGCGUGAAGGAUUAAGGCCCUCUGGGUUGUAAACUUCUUUUAUCUGGGACGAAAAAAGGGUAUUCUUACUCACUUGACGGUACCAGAGGAAUAAGCACCGGCUAACUCCGUGCCAGCAGCCGCGGUAAUACGGAGGGUGCAAGCGUUAUCCGGAUUUACUGGGUUUAAAGGGUGCGUAGGUGGGUCUGUAAGUCAGUGGUGAAAUCUCCGAGCUUAACUCGGAAACUGCCAUUGAUACUAUAGAUCUUGAAUUAUCUGGAGGUAAGCGGAAUAUGUCAUGUAGCGGUGAAAUGCUUAGAUAUGACAUAGAACACCAAUUGCGAAGGCAGCUUACUACGGAUAUAUUGACACUGAGGCACGAAAGCGUUGGGGAUCAAACAGGAUUAGAUACCCUGGUAGUCCACGACCUAACCGACUAGAGUACUACGACACUACACGACGACUACACU
rnacentral:rRNA from 1 species